rnacentral:lncRNA from 1 species
GGCCAAACUAGGUAACCACCCUUAAAUCUUUACAAAACCCUAACUCCAAAAUAAUUACGCUCAAACCCUCUUUUUUUUUCCCAACCCUUAGAUUAGAUCAUGAGAAAGAUCUCUACAAAACCCUAACUCCAAAAUAAUUAGGCUCAAACCCUAAUUGUUUUUUCCCAACCCUUAUAUUAGAUCAUGAGAAAGAGAGACUCUCUAUGUUAGAUUAGAUCAUGAGAAAAAG